rnacentral:lncRNA from 1 species
UCAUAAGAUGCAAACAUAUACCACAAACCAUCAGGAGGAACAGUUACAAUAUAUCAUAUCCAAAAACCAUACGAAUUAAACUUUACAAAGAACAAAGAAUACCACAAACACAACAUCCCCAGACCCUUUUGUUCUUUAUUUCCUCCCGGGAGAGCCAUAAACAUUGAUAUUUGUACAUGAAAAAAGAGUGAGGUUUUGAGAGAAACCUCAAUCAAUUCCUUGUCACACUUGGCUGCUCUUUCUGCCUCUUCAUCAUACUUCAUCCUCCACUCUGCAGAUUCAUCCA